rnacentral:rRNA from 1 species
AGAGUUUGAUCCUGGCUCAGAUUGAACGCUGGCGGCAUGCUUUACACAUGCAAGUCGAACGGCAGCACGGGGGCAACCCUGGUGGCGAGUGGCGAACGGGUGAGUAAUAUAUCGGAACAUAUCCGGAAGUGGGGGAUAACGUACCGAAAGGUACGCUAAUACCGCAUAUGCCCUGAGGGGGAAAGGGGGGGAUCGCAAGACCUCUCGCUUUCGGAGUGGCCGAUAUCGGAUUAGCUAGUUGGUGAGGUAAAGGCUCACCAAGGCGACGAUCCGUAGCUGGUCUGAGAGGACGACCAGCCACACUGGAACUGAGACACGGUCCAGACUCCUACGGGAGGCAGCAGUGGGGAAUUUUGGACAAUGGGCGAAAGCCUGAUCCAGCC